rnacentral:rRNA from 1 species
CUUAGCCACUUUUGGAGAUGUUUAUGGGCUAAGUUGGGGACUAAACUGCUUUUUAGUACUACUUGUCACCCCCAAACUGAUGGACAAACUGAAGUAGUCAAUAGAACGUUUUCUACUAUGCUUAGGGCUGGUUUGAGGAAUAAUAAGAAAAUGUGGGAGGAAUGCUUACCUCAUAUUGAAUUUGCUUAUAAUCGUUCAUUGCAUUCUACUACUAAGAUGUGCCCUUUUGAAGUUGUGUAUGGUUUCCUACCUCGUGCAUCUAUUGAUUUGUUGCCUCUUCCAUCUUCGGAGAAGGUUAAUUUUGAUGCUAAACAACAUGCU